GACGAACUGUCCAAACGUUGUUCGGAAUCACUGGGCUUAAAGGGCGCGUAGGCGGUCAAACAAGUCAAGGGUGAAAUCCUGCAGCUUAACUGUAGAAGUGCCUUUGAUACUGUUUGUCUGGAGGGAGAUAGGGGUGUGCGGAACUUCCAGUGGAGCGGUGAAAUGCGUUGAUAUUGGAAGGAACGCCGGAGGCGAAAGCGGCGCACUGGAUCUCUUCUGACGCUGAGGCGCGAAAGCUAGGGGAGCAAACGGG
rnacentral:rRNA from 1 species